CAUGAGCGGCCCAGCUCUAUAUUAAUCACAGAUUAUUAAAGUAUUAAUCUCAUUUUGUGUGAUAUUUUGGCUGUGUUGUGACUGUGUGUUAAUAAUUUAAACAAAUAAGUGUACUUUAAGAGGAUGUGGUUAGUCGUACAUUUUCUAGAGGAAAAUACGGUGGACGUGGUCCCUUCAAAAUGGUACCUAAACAGAAAUAAUGAAUGCUUCUGGCCCGACACAAAAAUUUCUAAACAGAAAAUGUUGGAUAUUAUUAAAAAGUGUGAAGAUCCAUUACCAAAUUGGAUUUCUUAUUCCGCAAAAAUUUUGGGAGAAUAUAGUAACUUUGGAGUCGCUGAAAAAAAAGUUUCAAAGCAAAAACAAGUGACGUAUUGUCUAGUUCAGAUUUAGAUGUGAGAAAAAAGAAGAAACCACAACGUUUCUCAUUUUCCAAUACAUCAUCUGAAAAUGAAACGGACUCGGACACAUCAGGAGAAUAUCCAAGAGUUCCAUCAGCACUUCAAAAAACACCUGGUGACCAUCAACAAGAAAUUUCAGAAGCGAAUAGGGCAAUUAGUGCUAUAUCAAUCGGAACUGAUACUAACCAGGAAAUUGUUACUGAAGAAAAAUUAGAAGAAUUCAAAAAAGAAAUUAGUAGACAAUUUGCUAUUAUUAAUGCCAAAUUAGAUGAUAUGUCGGAAACAUUGAAUUUGGCGAUAAAAAUAAGACAGGAAGAACCACUUCUAGUCCAAUUAACUAAGCCUUUAAAUCGAAA